UAAUAGGCCGUAGAGAAAAUAAAGGCUUUCAAGAACAAGUCGUCACAAAAUCGUUUGAAACAAGUGUUUUCUAUUAUCUUGAAGCUGGUGCAAAUAUAAUAAUCACAUCUUAGCAGGAAUGGAAUCGGUCAAAAGGAAUUGGAAUUUGAAGAAAUUGAAAUGUGUCACGUGUUUGGUUAGAAGAGUUUGUAAGGAGAAUGGAAUUGAAUUCAACUCCGUUCGUUUAUAGGUUUGCAAUGAGGGCUCUUUCAAAAGCCACCACCAUGGUCGAGACUUUUAAUGGCGAAAGGCCCAUCUUUUGCGUUUAUCAAAUACCAUAAAUCUCGGUUUGUAAAAAAGGAUUGGCCUCAUUGCAAUUUCAAGAAUAUAAAGUAUCUAAAAUACCCCUUGACGAUGAUGGGCGAAUAAGUCAUUUUAUGCGAGUAAUAUCCCCUGAAGAUAACUUGCGUUUUAUUGCUGUCAAUGUUUGCAUCAAGAACCUUUAGCCGAUCGUCACCUGUCGCUUUUUAGUCGAUCGUGAAAAUUGGAAAAUUGUCGAUCACCUCCCCAUUUGAAAAUUGUCGAUCUCGAAAAAUUGGAAGUUUGCCCAAUCUCUACAUACGCUGUUAUCGAUCGGACAUCACUCUAUAAGUAGAUUUUUAUCGAUCGUCUUUGUCCUACCAGAAGAAGCUUUGGGGACAUGAUCCGGCACGCAUGAACUAUUCUUGUAUACACACACUAAGAAUCACGAUAGAGUGACUUUUUUAGUUGACAAAGCUAAAAAAUUCAUGUUGAUUUUAUGGAACGAUGUGAUCGGUUGGAAGCAAUAGGAGAGGAAAUUAUUGAGGACAAACUAUUUUAUGAUGUUGUUGGGGGACAUGAUCGAAAAAAAAGAUUAUAUGGAUUUGGCUCAUAUGGAAAGCGCAUUUGUUCUAGUAAAGGAUCUUCUGAAAUGCAUCGCGAACAAUACGAGGAUAAUAAUGCCGAGACAAAAGGCGAGAUUGAGAAUUUGAAGAAGUUAGUUGAGACGCAACGCGAACAAUACGAGGAUAUUCAACAAAAAUAUGAAGAUGUUCAGCAAAAAUAUGAGGAUGCUCAGAAAAAGAAUGUGGAGUUUCAGCAGAAAAAUGUGGAUGUUCAAGCAAAGUUUGAACAACUUGCACAAGCAAUGAAUGUCAUUAACACAUUGAGUGAACAGGUCAAAACUUUUAUUAAUCAAUGAUAGAAUAUUAUGUAUCGAAUAAUGUUUUACGUUAAAUUUGUAUCGACUUUUGAUAUUGAAAUAUGUAUCUUUUGAUGUAUUUGAUAUUUCUUUUAGUUUCUAUAGAAAUACAUUGUUAUUUUUGGUUUUA